ensembl:lncRNA
CUGGAAUGGCAGCCUUGUUUCCUUUUUUAAAAUAGAUACAUUGAAAUUGAGUGACUAUUUGCUGGUACUAUAAUUUAGGCCUACAAUCAGCCUUCUAUGUCAGUAUUAGAAUGCAAUCAGUGAUACGGUAUCCCAAAGAGACUGAUUGCAUUUCGUAGUCUGUAAGUCAUGUCUGACUCUGUGGCCCAAAGGACUUUAGCCCACCAGGCUCCUCUGUCCAUGGGAUUCCCCAGACAAGAAUACUGGAGUGGGUUGCCAUUUCCUAAGGAGACUGAACAUAAGAGGAAAUUGAGAAACAAGAAAUUUGGAAGUCUUGCUUAAUGUAGGGAGAAAUGAAGAAACACGAUGGAACUCUCCUUUCGUCUGGUGCUGAAGCUGCAGCCCCAGCUCCUAGAGGAGCCUCGGGCCAGCACUGGGGAGCUCUCACAGCCACUCCUGCUUGACCUGGUCCAGGUAAGAUCAGGGUACGUGCUGAACGCGAGCCUGAAGGAUGCUACUGCUGCUGCAGUGAGUUCCGGGUUUUAUAAACAAGUGCC